CCUACGGGUGGCUGCAGUGGGGAAUGUUGGACAAUGGGCGCAAGCCUGAUCCAGCUAUUCCGCGUGUGGGAUGACGGCCCUCGGGUUGUAAACCACUUUAGUAGAGAACGAAAAGGAGCGAUCGAAUAAAUAGCUCUGCUGACGGUACGCGAAGAAGAAGCACCGGCUAACUACGUGCCAGCAGCCGCGGUAAUACGUAGGGUGCGAGCGUUAAUCGGAAUUACGGGGCGUAAAGGGUGUGCAGGCGGCUGAGUAAGACAGAUGUGAAAUCCCCGGGCUUAACCUGGGAACCGCAUAUGUGACUGCUUGGCUAGAGUGCGUCAGAGGGCGGUGGACUUCCACGUGUAGCCGU
rnacentral:rRNA from 1 species